rnacentral:rRNA from 1 species
AACGAACGCUGGCGGCGUGGAUAAGACAUGCAAGUCGAACGAUUACUGUUGGGUAGCAAUAUUCGGCAGUGAGAGUGGCGCAAGGGUGCGUAACACGUGGGUAAUUUGCCGUGAAGUCUGGGAUAACUUGCUGAAAGGCGAGCUAAUACCGGAUGUGAUUUCUGGAAGGCAUCUUCUGGAACUUAAAGUCGGGGACCGUAAGGCCUGACGCUUCUCGAUAAGCCCGCGGCCUAUCAGCUAGUUGGUGAGGUAACGGCUCACCAAGGCUAAGACGUGUAGCUGGUCUGAGAGGACGACCAGCCACACUGGAACUGAGACACGGUCCAGACACCUACGGGAGGCUG